GACGAACCGUGCGAACGUUGUUCGGAAUCACUGGGCUUAAAGGGCGCGUAGGCGGGUUGCCAAGUCCGGGGUGAAAGCCUCCAGCUUAACUGGAGAAGUGCCUUGGAUACUGGUGAUCUCGAGGGAGGUAGGGGCAUGUGGAACUUCCGGUGGAGCGGUGAAAUGCGUAGAUAUCGGAAGGAACGCCGGUGGCGAAAGCGACGUGCUGGACCUCUUCUGACGCUGAGGCGCGAAAGCUAGGGGAGCAAACGGG
rnacentral:rRNA from 1 species